UGGAUAGAUUAUUGUAUUCGACUGUAUACACGGUGUGAAAUAGGGGAUUACACUGUUUUAAAACGGAAAGUGAAUCAAUUAACAUAAUAGACUCUU
rnacentral:pre_miRNA from 1 species